rnacentral:rRNA from 1 species
GACGAACGCUGGCGGCGUGCUUAACACAUGCAAGUCGAACGGAAAGGCCCUGCUCUUGUGGGGUUCUCGAGUGGCGAACGGGUGAGUAACACGUGAGUAACCUGCCCUUGACUUUGGGAUAACUUCAGGAAACUGGGGCUAAUACCGGAUAUGAGCUCCUGCUGCAUGUUGGGGGUUGGAAAGUUUCGGCGGUUGGGGAUGGACUCGCGGCUUAUCAGCUUGUUGGUGAGGUAGUGGCUUACCAAGGCUUUGACGGGUAGCCGGCCUGAGAGGGUGACCGGCCACAUUGGGACUGAGAUACGGCCCAGACUCCUACGGGAGGCAGCAGUGGGGAAUAUUGCACAAUGGGCGGAAGCCUGAUGCAGAAACGCCGCGUGCGGGAUGACGGCCUUCGGGUUGUAAACCGCUUUCGCCUGUGACGAAGCGUGAGUGACGGUAAUGGGUAAAGAAGCACCGGCUAACUACGUG